GUCUCUGUCGGAAACAUGGUCUAUUUUUUCCUGGCCUUCUAAGCCAAUGGUCUGGGGUUCGAAUCCCCUCGGGUCCACCA
rnacentral:tRNA from 1 species